rnacentral:rRNA from 1 species
GUAAGAGAGAAAGAUGGCCUCUUUGCUGUCGCUGAAAGAUGAGCCUGCGUACUAUUAGCUAGUUGGUAGGGUAAAGGCCUACCAAGGCGAUGAUGGUUAGCCGGCCUGAGAGGGUGUACGGCCACACUGGAACUUAGACACGGUCCAGACUCCUACGGGAGGCAGCAGUGAGGAAUAUUGCGCAAUGGGCGAAAGCCUGACGCAGCGACGCCGCGUGGAGGAUGAAGGUCUUAGGAUUGUAAACUUCAGUUAAGCGGGAAGAAAGACGAAGUGUUAAUACCACUUUAUGAUGACGGUACCGCUAAAGAAAGCACCGGCUAACUUCGUGCCAGCAGCCGCGGUAAUACGAAGGGUGCGAACGUUAUUCGGAUUUAUUGGGCGUAAAGGGUACGCAGGCGGUGCGUUAAGUCAACUGUUAAAUCUCCCGGCCUAACUGGGAAUCAGCGGUAGAUACUGGCGCACUAGAGGAUGGAAGAGAGAAGUGGAAUUCUUGGAGUAGAGGUAAAAUUCGUAGAUCUCAAGAGGAACACCGAUGGCGAAGGCAGCUUCUUGGUCCAUUUCUGACGCUCAUGUACGAAAGCGUGGGGAGCAAACAGGAUUAGAUACCCUGGUAGUCCACGCUGUAAACGAUGAUCACUAGACGUUGGUUCUACUCUGUAGAGUUAGUGUCGUAGCUAACGCGUUAAGUGAUCCGCCUGGGGACUACGGUCGCAAGAUUAAAACUCAAAGGAAUUGACGGGGGUCCGCACAAGCGGUGGAACAUGUGGUUUAAUUCGACACUACGCGAGGAACCUUACCUAGGUUUGACAUGUAUAUGACCGCUCCAGAAACGGA